rnacentral:rRNA from 1 species
AGUAACACGUGAGCAACCUGCCCCUGACUCUGGGAUAAGCGCUGGAAACGGCGUCUAAUACCGGAUAUGAGCUGCGAUCGCAUGGUCAGCAGUUGGAAAGAUUUUUCGGUCUGGGAUGGGCUCACGGCCUAUCAGCUUGUUGGUGAGGUAAUGGCUCACCAAGGCGUCGACGGGUAGCCGGCCUGAGAGGGUGACCGGCCACACUGGGACUGAGACACGGCCCAGACUCCUACGGGAGGCAGCAGUGGGGAAUAUUGCACAAUGGGCGAAAGCCUGAUGCAGCAACGCCGCGUGAGGGAUGACGGCCUUCGGGUUGUAAACCUCUUUUAGCAGGGAAGAAGCGAAAGUGACGGUACCUGCAGAAAAAGCGCCGGCUAACUACGUGCCAGCAGCCGCGGUAAUACGUAGGGCGCAAGCGUUAUCCGGAAUUAUUGGGCGUAAAGAGCUCGUAGGCGGUUUGUCGCGUCUGCUGUGAAAUCCCGAGGCUCAACCUCGGGUCUGCAGUGGGUACGGGCAGACUAGAGUGCGGUAGGGGAGAUUGGAAUUCCUG